UUUUUUAAGACUUUGUGCGACCAAUUUUUCGUCACGCAAAACUUUGCAUGACCAACACUUCGUCGCGCAAAACUCUAAAAAUUUGGGCAGGCACCAAAAAUAGGAUGCGGAAAUUUUUUUUAAAAUUUUUUUUAAGACUUUGCGCUACCAAUAUUUCGUCGUGCAAACUCGUAUCCUUCGUUGCGGAAAGUGAUACGUUUUUUAAAACCAAAAUAACUACUCCACUAUUUUCUCAAUGUCUUUCUCUACUUUACCUCUUCUCUCUCUUUCCCUCUCCCUAAAUUCAACAUUUUUUCUCACACUCACUCUCUCAUCUCCCUCUUCACUAUCUCUCACUCUCACUCACCCUCUCACCUCUCUCUCACUAUCUCCUCUAAUUCUCUCACACUCGCUCCUCCCUCUCAUUCUCACUCACUCUUAAUCUUGCCAAAAGGUAUAUUCUCCCCAAAUUUUAAUUUUUUCUUCUUCAUUAAUAUGUUUUUUUGGAGUUAGUUUUGAGUUUGUGCGGGGUUUGGGGUCGAGUAUAGGGUAAGGAGUGGAGUUUGGGAUCAGAUUUGAGGUAUACCAAUUUUAGGGGAGACUAUCCCAUUUUUUUGUUAUUUGACCAUCUUUGUUUUUUUGUAGGGAAUCGUCGAGACUUUGACGGCUAAAGUUGAGGAUUAGGUCGCUAUCGAAACAUAUCCCCCGCCACUACCACCACAAUAGACUUGUAUUAGGAUUUGAUUAUUUUACUUUGUUAAUUUAUGUGUAUAUUUUGAAUAUAUUAUAUAUAUUGGAUAAUUUGAUCACUAUUUUUCAUAUGUAAUUUUAUUUUGAAUAUGUCAAUUUAAAUUAAAGU
rnacentral:lncRNA from 1 species